AGAAUCAACGCUGGCGGCGUGCCUAACACAUGCAAGUCGAACGAGAAAGUGGAGCAAUCCAUGAGUAAAGUGGCGACCGGGUGAGUAACACGUGACUAACCUACCUUCGAGUGGGGGAUAACCUCGGGAAAACCGAGGCUAAUACCGCAUAACAUCGCAAGAUCAAAGCAGCAAUGCGCUGGAAGAGGGGGUCGCGGCUGAUUAGCUAGUUGGCGGGGUAAUGGCCCACCAAGGCGAAGAUCGGUA
rnacentral:rRNA from 1 species